UUUUUUUUUACUUUUUACAUUGGUCAACAAAAUACAAGAUAAACGACAUCGUUUAAUCAUUUCCCAAUUUUACCCCUAAGUUUAACACCUAGAACCUUCUCCAUCUUCGCAAGCACAGCCUGAUUAGGAACAGCUUUACCAUUCUCAUAUUCCUGAACUACCUGAGUCCUCUCAUU